GGUUAAGCGACUAAGCGUACACGGUGGAUGCCCUGGCAGUCAGAGGCGAUGAAGGACGUGCUAAUCUGCGAUAAGCGUCGGUGAGGUGAUAUGAACCGUUAUAACCGGCGAUUUCCGAAUGGGGAAACCCAGUGUGUUUCGACACACUAUCAUUAACUGAAUCCAUAGGUUAAUGAGGCGAACCGGGGGAACUGAAACAUCUAAGUACCCCGAGGAAAAGAAAUCAACCGAGAUUCCCCCAGUAGCGGCGAGCGAACGGGGAGGAGCCCAGAGCCUGAAUCAGUGUGUGUGUUAGUGGAAGCGUCUGGAAAGGCGCGCGAUACAGGGUGACAGCCCCGUACACAAAAAUGCACAUGCUGUGAGCUCGAUGAGUAGGGCGGGACACGUGGUAUCCUGUCUGAAUAUGGGGGGACCAUCCUCCAAGGCUAAAUACUCCUGACUGACCGAUAGUGAACCAGUACCGUGAGGGAAAGGCGAAAAGAACCCCGGCGAGGGGAGUGAAAAAGAACCUGAAACCGUGUACGUACAAGCAGUGGGAGCCUCUUAAUGGGGUGACUGCGUACCUUUUGUAUAAUGGGUCAGCGACUUAUAUUCUGUAGCAAGGUUAACCGAAUAGGGGAGCCGAAGGGAAACCGAGUCUUAACUGGGCGUUAAGUUGCAGGGUAUAGACCCGAAACCCGGUGAUCUAGCCAUGGGCAGGUUGAAGGUUGGGUAACACUAACUGGAGGACCGAACCGACUAAUGUUGAAAAAUUAGCGGAUGACUUGUGGCUGGGGGUGAAAGGCCAAUCAAACCGGGAGAUAGCUGGUUCUCCCCGAAAGCUAUUUAGGUAGCGCCUCGUGAAUUCAUCUCCGGGGGUAGAGCACUGUUUCGGCAAGGGGGUCAUCCCGACUUACCAACCCGAUGCAAACUGCGAAUACCGGAGAAUGUUAUCACGGGAGACACACGGCGGGUGCUAACGUCCGUCGUGAAGAGGGAAACAACCCAGACCGCCAGCUAAGGUCCCAAAGUCAUGGUUAAGUGGGAAACGAUGUGGGAAGGCCCAGACAGCCAGGAUGUUGGCUUAGAAGCAGCCAUCAUUUAAAGAAAGCGUAAUAGCUCACUGGUCGAGUCGGCCUGCGCGGAAGAUGUAACGGGGCUAAACCAUGCACCGAAGCUGCGGCAGCGACGCUUAUGCGUUGUUGGGUAGGGGAGCGUUCUGUAAGCCUGUGAAGGUGUGCUGUGAGGCAUGCUGGAGGUAUCAGAAGUGCGAAUGCUGACAUAAGUAACGAUAAAGCGGGUGAAAAGCCCGCUCGCCGGAAGACCAAGGGUUCCUGUCCAACGUUAAUCGGGGCAGGGUGAGUCGACCCCUAAGGCGAGGCCGAAAGGCGUAGUCGAUGGGAAACAGGUUAAUAUUCCUGUACUUGGUGUUACUGCGAAGAGGGGACGGAGAAGGCUAUGUUGGCCGGGCGACGGUUGUCCCGGUUUAAGCGUGUAGGCUGAUUUUCCAGGCAAAUCCGGAAAAUCAAGGCUGAGGCGUGAUGACGAGGCACUACGGUGCUGAAGCAACAAAUGCCCUGCUUCCAGGAAAAGCCUCUAAGCAUCAGGUAACAUCAAAUCGUACCCCAAACCGACACAGGUGGUCAGGUAGAGAAUACCAAGGCGCUUGAGAGAACUCGGGUGAAGGAACUAGGCAAAAUGGUGCCGUAACUUCGGGAGAAGGCACGCUGAUAUGUAGGUGAAGCGACUUGCUCGUGGAGCUGAAAUCAGUCGAAGAUACCAGCUGGCUGCAACUGUUUAUUAAAAACACAGCACUGUGCAAACACGAAAGUGGACGUAUACGGUGUGACGCCUGCCCGGUGCCGGAAGGUUAAUUGAUGGGGUUAGCGGCAACGCGAAGCUCUUGAUCGAAGCCCCGGUAAACGGCGGCCGUAACUAUAACGGUCCUAAGGUAGCGAAAUUCCUUGUCGGGUAAGUUCCGACCUGCACGAAUGGCGUAAUGAUGGCCAGGCUGUCUCCACCCGAGACUCAGUGAAAUUGAACUCGCUGUGAAGAUGCAGUGUACCCGCGGCAAGACGGAAAGACCCCGUGAACCUUUACUAUAGCUUGACACUGAACAUUGAGCCUUGAUGUGUAGGAUAGGUGGGAGGCUUUGAAGUGUGGACGCCAGUCUGCAUGGAGCCGACCUUGAAAUACCACCCUUUAAUGUUUGAUGUUCUAACGUGGGCCCCUAAUCGGGGUUGCGGACAGUGUCUGGUGGGUAGUUUGACUGGGGCGGUCUCCUCCUAAAGAGUAACGGAGGAGCACGAAGGUUGGCUAAUCCUGGUCGGACAUCAGGAGGUUAGUGCAAUGGCAUAAGCCAGCUUGACUGCGAGCGUGACGGCGCGAGCAGGUGCGAAAGCAGGUCAUAGUGAUCCGGUGGUUCUGAAUGGAAGGGCCAUCGCUCAACGGAUAAAAGGUACUCCGGGGAUAACAGGCUGAUACCGCCCAAGAGUUCAUAUCGACGGCGGUGUUUGGCACCUCGAUGUCGGCUCAUCACAUCCUGGGGCUGAAGUAGGUCCCAAGGGUAUGGCUGUUCGCCAUUUAAAGUGGUACGCGAGCUGGGUUUAGAACGUCGUGAGACAGUUCGGUCCCUAUCUGCCGUGGGCGCUGGAGAACUGAGGGGGGCUGCUCCUAGUACGAGAGGACCGGAGUGGACGCAUCACUGGUGUUCGGGUUGUCAUGCCAAUGGCACUGCCCGGUAGCUAAAUGCGGAAGAGAUAAGUGCUGAAAGCAUCUAAGCACGAAACUUGCCCCGAGAUGAGUUCUCCCUGACUCCUUGAGAGUCCUGAAGGAACGUUGAAGACGACGACGUUGAUAGGCCGGGUGUGUAAGCGCAGCGAUGCGUUGAGCUAACCGGUACUAAUGAACCGUGAGGCUUAACCUU
rnacentral:rRNA from 1 species